GGGAACUACGAGCAAAGCUUAAAACCCAAAGGACUUGACGGUACCCCACAUCCCCCUAGAGGAGCCUGUCCUGUAACCGACAACCCCCGUUCAACCUCACCAUUUUUAGCCUAUCAGCCUGUAUACCUCCGUCGUCAGCUUACCACGUGAGCGACCCUAAGUGAGCCUAAUGCCCACACGCCAACACGUCAGGUCAAGGUGCAGCAAAUAAAAUGGGAAGAGAUGGGCUACACUCUCUACUGUAGAAGAUACGAAAGACUAUUUAUGAAACCUAGUCGAAAGGCGGAUUUAGUAGUAAAAAGAGACAAGAGCGCUCUUUUUAACACGGCACUGGGGUGUGUACACACCGCCCGUCACCCUCUUCGAAGCUAACAGAAAGUCCAUAACACACCUAAGCACGAUAGAAGAGGCAAGUCGUAACAUGGUAAGUAUACCGGAAGGUGUGCUUGGAAACAAAAUAUAGCUUAACCAAAGCAUCUCGCUUACACCGAGAAAAUAUCUGUUAAACCCGGAUUAUUUUGAGCUAAUAAUCUAGCCCCCCAAUAUCAAAUGAAACCAUUAACUUUAUAACAUAAACUAAAACAUUUUAUAAAUUUAGUAAAGGCGAUUAAAAAAUUGAUAGGAGCUAUAAUAAAAGUACCGCAAGGGAAA
rnacentral:rRNA from 1 species